AGAGUUUGAUCCUGGCUCAGAAUGAACGUGGGCGGCGUGGAUUAGGCAUGCAAGUCGAACGGGCCGCAAGGCCAGUGGCGCAAGGGUGAGUAAGGCGAAGGUAACCAACCCCGCGGGUGGGCAUAGCCGAGGGAAACUUCGGGUAAUUCCCAGCGAUGUGAUUGGCCGGCAUCGGUCGAUCACCAAAGAUUUAUCGCCGUGGGACGGGCCUUCGUGGUAUUAGGUUGUUGGCGGGGUGACGGCCCACCAAGCCUGCGAUGCCUACCGGGCGUGCGAGCGUGGCCCGGCACACUGGGACUGAGACACUGCCCAGACUCCUACGGGAGGCUGCAGUCGAGAAUCUUCGGCAAUGGGCGCAAGCCUGACCGAGCGACGCCGCGUGGAGGAUGAAGGCCUUCGGGUUGUAAACUCCUGUCGAGGGGGAGGAAGCCGCAAGGUUGACCGAUCCCUGGAGGAAGCACGGGCUAAGUUCGUGCCAGCAGCCGCGGUAAGACGAACCGUGCGAACGUUAUUCGGAAUCACUGGGCUUAAAGCGCGUGUAGGCGGGCCGCCACGUCGGCUGCUGAAAUCCCCCGGCUCAACCGGGGAACGGGCACCGAUACGAGCGGCCUGGAGGGGGGUAGGGGGACCUGGAACUUCCGGUGGAGCGGUGAAAUGCGUUGAGAUCGGAAGGAACGCCCGUGGCGAAAGCGAGGUCCUGGACCCUUUCUGACGCUGAGACGCGAAAGCCAGGGGAGCGAACGGGAUUAGAUACCCCGGUAGUCCUGGCCGUAAACGAUGAACACUGGGUAGGGGGCUCGCCGAUGGGCUCCCUGCCGUAGGGAAACCGUGAAGUGUUCCGCCUGGGGAGUAUGGUCGCAAGGCUGAAACUUAAAGGAUUUGACGGAAGG
rnacentral:rRNA from 1 species